GGGGCUGUAGCUCAGCUGGGAGAGCGCCUGCCUUGCACGCAGGAGGUCAGCGGUUCGAUCCCGCUCAGCUCCA
rfam:Pseudohongiella acticola strain KCTC 42131 KCTC42131_S7, whole genome shotgun sequence.